rnacentral:rRNA from 1 species
UACGGAAGGGGCUAGCGUUGAUCGUAAUUACUGGGCGUAAAGAGCGCGUAGGCGGCUUACCAAGUUGGGGGUGAAAUCCCGGAGCUCAACUCCGGAACUGCCUUCAAAACUGGUAGGCUCGAGUACGGAAGAGGGGCGUGGAAUUCCCAGUGUAGAGGUGAAAUUCGUAGAUAUUGGGAAGAACACAGGUGGGGAAGGCGGCGCCAUGGUCCGGUACUGACGCUGAGGAGCGAAAGCGUGGGGAGAAAACAGG